rnacentral:lncRNA from 1 species
UGCUGAAGCAUCGCGCCGAGGAAAAUUGCUCCCCUGUUUGCUUAUUUAAAAACCAUGUAACCGUAUACAUUUUUAAUCGCGGCAACAAAAAUAUCAACUUUCUAGUCCUUGGAGCAAAACCUUUAUCAUUCGCUUGAACAUUGUUCAGUGGGGUGGGGGCGGGAAUAGGCAGACCUCCCAGGGCCGAAGUCACAGCCUUACCCAACACUCGCCUACGGCGUGGAGGCAAGGAGUCGGGAGUCCGAGGAUUUGGUGAGCAGGGUAAAUAAGGACUAAGUUCUCUAAAACCUCAAAUAACACAGAAGAGAUGUAUCUUACCAUCUCCGUGGCGCCCUUUGCUUGGGACUGCAACGAGUUGCCGAUGACCUGCGAUAAGUAUGCCUACGGCGCCUACUAAAGUCCGGGCCUUGGAGGAGAGGUGUCUCCCUCCCCUCGACCCGCUGCCCGCCACCAUUUGAUAACUGCCGCGUCUUCUGGCAGGUACACACCCACAAUUAAUCUUUCUUAUUAAAGCCUCCAUUCUGUACCCAAGGGGCGACUCAAACCUAUUUAGAUUUCCUUGGUUGGCUGCACAAAUUUAAGUGGGCAAAGAGUUAUAAACCUAAUAACAGAGGGCAAGAGAGAGUGAUUUGAGUAGAGAAGACGCAAAGAUCCACUAGGAGUGUAAGGAUGCUGCGGGCCUUGCCCGCCCCAGGCCCCCGCCUCCGGUUGCACUCUAGGCUCUGGGAAAGGCAGCGAACCUCCCGCGCACACAUUGCGCGCAACCUCCGUACACACACCUUCAUCGCUCACAGAAAUCAGAAUUCAACUUGGAGAAAGUGGAAGAGUGGCUUCAACUGUGAACUCAAACUUUAAUAGCUAAAUCAGCCACC